rnacentral:lncRNA from 1 species
CUGGUUCCUUAGCACAGCAUGACAGACAUGGCCCUCACUGACCUCCCAUUUUUUCCUGUGCACUUCCCAUAGUACCCUCUGCCUCACUCACACAAACUUCUGAAACGCCCUUAACAUCUCAUCUUCUUUGGCAUCUCCCUGUUACCUUAUCGACUCUCCCUAUGCUUCCUGCGCUUCUCCUCCCCUUCCUGCCCAACUCAUUCACCCAACAAACAUUUAAGUGCCGUGGUAAGCCAAGGUGGGCUCAUAGUCAUCAUUGAAGACCCAGCUGAGAUUUUGAAAGAGAUAAGGAAUGCUUGCAGUGAAUGAACUAAAGUCCUUUGAACCAGAGUUGCUAAUGCUCCCAAGUGGCAAGAAGUUGGGUUUUUGGCCAGGUCUUCUGUCUUCCAUUGAGGUCACCAUCACCUGUUAUUGUUAGCAUCUUUUGAGUAACUGUUUUCCACUGGUUAGCUCUCUGCUAAAUGGGUUUAAUCUAAAUCUCCGUCUUUAGUUACCUUCAGUAAAAUUUGAGGAGAAAAAAAAAAGAGCAGCAGUCCCAA